rnacentral:rRNA from 1 species
GACGAACGCUGGCGGCGUGCUUAACACAUGCAAGUCGAACGGAAAGACCCUGCUUUUGUGGGGUGCUCGAGUGGCGAACGGGUGAGUAACACGUGAGUAACCUGCCCUUGACUUUGGGAUAACUUCAGGAAACUGGGGCUAAUACCGGAUAGGAGCUCCUGCUGCAUGGUGGGGGUUGGAAAGUUUCGGCGGUUGGGGAUGGACUCGCGGCUUAUCAGCUUGUUGGUGGGGUAGUGGCUUACCAAGGCUUUGCCGGGUAGCCGGCCUGAGAGGGUGACCGGCCACAUUGGGACUGAGAUACGGCCCAGACUCCUACGGGAGGCAGCAGUGGGGAAUAUUGCACAAUGGGCGGAAGCCUGAUGCAGCAACGCCGCGUGCGGGAUGACGGCCUUCGGGUUGUAAACCGCUUUCGCCUGUGACGAAGCGUGAGUGACGGUAAUGGGUAAAGAAGCACCGGCUAACUACGUG